CUCUCCCGUGCCACUGCCUCAUUCCUCUCGCUAACACACUCGGGUGCUGAGUCUUCGUGUCUGCGUCAAUGUGACCGUUGUGUCGCAGCAAUCCAGGGUGGGAAGAUAAAGCACCAUGGCUGAAGAGGUCCUCCUCUGGAGCGCCACAUGCAUGACCUACUCUGAAGGUUGUAAAGUCUCUUGAUGCCUCGUGGUCAUUUCAUCGGUGAAGAGCGCAGGUUCACCUGGUGAUGACAUGGCAGAUCCUUCAGCAGAUGAAGUGAAGAGUUGGCCACAAGUCUGAUCACAAGUUGCCAGCUGAAGGAGCCUGAAGAGCUGCAGGACGUGCUGCACAAUGUGCUGAGGUAACUGCAGCCAGACAGCAGUGCUUGCUUGGAGAGGCCUUGAUCUUGGUGCUGCCAAGAUGCAACCACGCCCCCUGUUGGAAGUCACGAGGAGGCAGUCGUGUUACAAUGAAACUGAAUAAAAGUGAAUAUAUUUC